GACGAACGCUGGCGGCGUGCUUAACACAUGCAAGUCGUACGGUAAGGCCCUUUCGGGGGUACACGAGUGGCGAACGGGUGAGUAACACGUGAGUAACCUGCCCACAACUUUGGGAUAACGCUAGGAAACUGGUGCUAAUACUGGAUAUGUGCUCCUGCUGCAUGGUGGGGGUUGGAAAGCUCCGGCGGUUGUGGAUGGACUCGCGGCCUAUCAGCUUGUUGGUGGGGUAGUGGCCUACCAAGGCGGCGACGGGUAGCCGGCCUGAGAGGGUGACCGGCCACAUUGGGACUGAGAUACGGCCCAGACUCCUACGGGAGGCAGCAGUGGGGAAUAUUGCACAAUGGGCGCAAGCCUGAUGCAGCAACGCCGCGUGCGGGAUGACGGCCGUCGGGUUGUAAACCGCUUUCAGCAGGGACGAAGCUUUUUGUGACGGUACCUGCAGAAGAAGCACCGGCUAACUACGUG
rnacentral:rRNA from 1 species